UACGUAGGGUGCAAGCGUUGUCCGGAAUUAUUGGGCGUAAAGAGCUCGUAGGUGGUUUGUCACGUCUGCCGUGAAAGCCCGGGGCUUAACUCCGGGUCUGCGGUGGAUACGGGCAGACUAGAGGCAGGUAGGGGAGAACGGAAUUCCCGGUGGAGCGGUGAAAUGCGUAGAGAUCGGGAAGAACGCCGGCGGCGAAAGCGACUCUCUGGUCGGAAUCUGACGCUGAGGUGCGAAAGCUAGGGGAGCAAACGGG
rnacentral:rRNA from 1 species